rnacentral:rRNA from 1 species
AGCACGGACUUCGGUCUGGUGGCGAGUGGCGAACGGGUGAGUAAUAUACCGGAACGUAUCCAAUAAUGGGGGAUAACUAAUCGAAAGGUUGGCUAAUACCGCAUACGCCCUACGGGGGAAAGCUAGGGACCUUCGGGCCUGGCGUUAAUGGAGCGGCCGAUAUCUGAUUAGCUAGUUGGUGGGGUAAAGGCUCACCAAGGCGACGAUCAGUAGCUGGUCUGAGAGGACGACCAGCCACACUGGAACUGAGACACGGUCCAGACUCCUACGGGAGGCAGCAGUGGGGAAUUUUGGACAAUGGGCGCAAGCCUGAUCCAGCCAUUCCGCGUGAGUGAAGAAGGCCUUCGGGUUGUAAAGCUCUUUCGCAAGGGAAGAAAACUUAUCCUCUAACAUAGGAUGAGGUUGACGGUACCUUGAUAAGAAGCACCGGCUAACUACGUGCCAGCAGCCGCGGUAAUACGUAGGGUGCGAGCGUUAAUCGGAAUUACUGGGCGUAAAGCGUGCGCAGGCGGUUUUGAAAGUCAGAUGUGAAAUCCCCGAGCUCAACUUGGGAACUGCGUUUGAAACUCCAAAACUCGAAUAUGUCAGAGGGGGGUAGAAUUCCACGUGUAGCAGUGAAAUGCGUAGAGAUGUGGAGGAAUACCAAUGGCGAAGGCAGCCCCCUGGGAUAAUAUUGACGCUCAUGCACGAAAGCGUGGGGAGCAAACAGGAUUAGAUACCCUGGUAGUCCACGCCCUAAACGAUGUCUACUAGUUGUUGGUGGAGUAAAAUCCAUGAGUAACGCAGCUAACGCGUGAAGUA